UUUUUUGUUAAAUGAACCAGACUAUCCUUUUAUGAAAAAGUUUUGAAUUGGGUGCACAAGGGCACAAAAGAGAUUUGAUGAGGGGAGUUUAUUUUAACUUAUGAAAAAGUUUUUUUUGUCUUUUGUUAUUUUUUAUUUUUUAUUAACAUCCUAAUAGAAAGAAAAGAGACGUUUUUUGUAUUUUUAAUUUAUAUUAAUAAUAAAAAAUAACUAACUUACAUUGAUAAAAAGGGAAAAA
rnacentral:lncRNA from 1 species